rnacentral:rRNA from 1 species
UGACAAGAAAUAACAACACAGGAUUUCGGUCUUGUAAUUGCAAUGAGAUGAGUCUAAAUCACUCUUCGAGUAACGAUUGGAGGGCAAGUCUGGUGCCAGCAGCCGCGGUAAUUCCAGCUCCAAUAGCGUAUAUUAAAGUUGUUGCAGUUAAAAAGCUCGUAGUUGGAUUUCUGUCUUUUAACGGUCCAUAGACAAUGUCCAUUGAGAUAGUUCGAGACAUUUUUCUAGUCACGCUGUGAAAGCAGUAUGUGUAGAGCCUUUACUUUGAGAAAAUUAGAGUGUUUAAAGCAGGC